UGCUUUGCACAGUGGCAGUAUCAUAACCAAUGAGGUUUAUCUGAAGCAUGACUAUUGCUAGUAGAAACACUACCAAUUUCUGGAUACUAAUUUUGUAUCCUACCACUUUACUCAAUUACUUCUAGUAGUUUUUUGGUGGAGUCUUUCAAUUUUUCUAUGCAUAGCAUCAUG
ensembl:snRNA U4 U4 spliceosomal RNA